AACCAAUGAAUGCACACAUAAUUUCUGUAUGCUGCUGGAACUGGCGUCCCCUGGGGCAGAAUAUGGUUUGCCUGGAUGUGAUUUCUGUUUGUUACUUUUUCAAAAAAGUUCACACUUUUUCUCUCUCCUGAGAUUUCUACCUGGCAUCAGUGCACGGAACAUCUUCCUCCAGACUUGGAACUUGAACUCAUCUGAAAUGAUGGGGAGCUGGAUGUCCAUGCGAGCGAUUGGUGGGGACUCUCCAAGGAUCUUUUGCAAUCUACAGCCAGGGAGAGAAGUUCAUGUUUUGAAGGUUUUCAGGAGUGGAGGGAGCAUUCCUUAUAGAACUAGUGGACUCAUUCACCAAAUACUGAUCCUUAUGUUAGCCAAAACAGCACCAACUAUGCACGAGAGGAAGGUAUCAGCAGGCUCAGGAGAACUUCCAAGGUUUGUGACGUGGAAAUGGACUGCCUUCCAGUCGAUCCCGACUUCUGACUACCCUGUGAAUAGGGUGUUCAUGGUUUCAACAUAAUAAGGAAAGCCGAGUAAAACACAUAUGAUGCAAAUGAAGCCCUGGGAGGUUAUGGAUAAAACUGAAUGAAUGAUGUCAAAUUAUUGCUAAAGGCCUGAAUGUAUUUACAUCAAGAUUAAAGCUGUGGUUUUGUUGUUGCUGUUGUAAGGAUCGGCAUGGUGAAAGAAAACUGAUUUAAUACAAAGCUU